GACGAACGCUGGCGGCGUGCUUAACACAUGCAAGUCGAACGAGUGGCGAACGGGUGAGUAAUACGUGAGUAACCUGCCCUCUUUUUGGGAUAAGCCUUGGAAACGGGGUCUAAUACCGGAUAAAGGGGGAUGGGCUCGCGGCCUAUCAGCUUGUUGGUGGGGUGAUGGCCUACCAAGGCGGUGACGGGUAGCCGGCCUGAGAGGGUGACCGGCAACGUUGGGCCUGCGAGACGGCCCAGAGUGCUACCGGAGGCAGCAGUUGGGGAUAUUGCACAAUGGGCGAACGCCUGAUCCAGCUACGCCGCGUGGGGGAUGAAGGUUUUAGGUUUUUAAACCUCUUUCGCAAUCGAAAGGGUAGGGGGGGAAGAACCGCCGGCUAAUUACGUGCCAGCAGCCGCGGUAAUA
rnacentral:rRNA from 1 species